AGUGAACGCUGGCGGUAGGCCUAACACAUGCAAGUCGAACGGCAGCACAGUAAGAGCUUGCUCUUACGGGUGGCGAGUGGCGGACGGGUGAGGAAUACAUCGGAAUCUACUUUUUCGUGGGGGAUAACGUAGGGAAACUUACGCUAAUACCGCAUACGACCUACGGGUGAAAGCAGGGGAUCUUCGGACUUUGCGCGAUUGAAUGAGCCGAUGUCGGAUUAGCUAGUUGGCGGGGUAAGGGCCCACCAAGGCGACGAUCCGUAGCUGGUCUGAGAGGAGGAUCGGCCACACUGGAACUGAGACACGGUCCAGACUCCUACGGGAGGCAGCAGUGGGGAAUAUUGGACAAUGGGCGCAAGCCUGAUCCAGCCAUACCGCGUGGGUGAAGAAGGCCUUCGGGUUGUAAAGCCCUUUUGUUGGGAAAGAAAAGCAGCAGGUUAAUACCCCGCUGUUCUGACGGUACCCAAAGAAUAAGCACCGGCUAACUUCGUG
rnacentral:rRNA from 1 species